AAGAGGGAGAUUUUUCAAACUUGAUGAAUUAUUGGAGGAGAAACUAAUGUUGGGAGAUAGAUAGCAACAGUUGUUAAGUAUAGUUGGUGAGUUAUGAUAUGUAAAAAAUUCACGCUCACCAUUAGGUCUCAAGUUUGAGUCUCUUGUUGUUAUCUACUCUCUCCCUACCUAUCCAGAAGAAUGUCACUGGGUCUAGCCUUGAAGUUUUCCACCGCAAAUUUUCCAUCGUAAAUUGGGGGUGGAUAAUUAAAUGUCCCUAAAUAAAAAAUCCGAGACCCCUUCCCGCUCACGCUCAAAUCUCAAACAAUUUGAUGAGUUUUGAGAAAUUGUUCCCGAUCAAAACGAUAGAUUGCUUCUUCUCCCUUCUCUUUGUGUAGAGAGAGAGGAAAAGCAUUUCCGCCCUGGCUCUGAAGACAGCAGAAAACCCUGCUCUUCGUGCAUAGAGAGAAGAGACCAGAUCCGCCUCCGCCCUUGGUUCUGAACACAGAAAACCCUGCUCUUCGUGCAUAGAUAGAAGAGACCAGAUCCACCUCCGCCCUGGUUUUGAACACAUGUAUGUCUCUUUCUUCUUCUGCUACUAUCUCUUCCAUCUAAAUCCUCGGUUCCAUUUUUUUUUUUGUAGAAAACCAUGCUAUUUGCCACCGGGAGGAGCUACUCCUCCGCCCAAAUCGUUACUUUGUGGGCUUUCUUCACCAAAAUUUCUGGUACCUGUUCUCUGUUUCUCCUGAUUUGAUGCUUUCAUGCUAUAUAGGGUUUUAAGGAUCCUCCAAGUGUUGGUUGGGUUUGUAAUGGACUAGCUAUACUGGGGGAUUAAUGGCAACGGACUUCGCCACAUUGGGUGGAACUUCAUCAUAGAUUUUUGAGUUUCCGAUAGUGUUUAUGUGAGAGUAACCGAUGACGAUUCUGGAUU